AGAGUUUGAUCAUGGCUCAGGACGAACGCUGGCGGCGUGCCUAAUACAUGCAAGUAGAACGCUGAAGAAAGGAGCUUGCUUCUUUUGGAUGAGUUGCGAACGGGUGAGUAACGCGUAGGUAACCUGCCUUGUAGCGGGGGAUAACUAUUGGAAACGAUAGCUAAUACCGCAUAACAGCUUUUGACACAUGUUAGAAGCUUGAAAGAUGCAAUUGCAUCACUACGAGAUGGACCUGCGUUGUAUUAGCUAGUAGGUAGGGUAACGGCCUACCUAGGCGACGAUACAUAGCCGACCUGAGAGGGUGAUCGGCCACACUGGGACUGAGACACGGCCCAGACUCCUACGGGAGGCAGCAGUAGGGAAUCUUCGGCAAUGGGGGCAACCCUGACCGAGCAACGCCGCGUGAGUGAAGAAGGUUUUCGGAUCGUAAAGCUCUGUUGUAAGAGAAGAACGUGUGUGAGAGUGGAAAGUUCACACAGUGACGGUAACUUACCAAAAAGGGACGGCUAACUACGUGCCAGCAGCCGCGGUAAUACGUAGGUCCCGAGCGUUGUCCGGAUUUAUUGGGCGUAAAGCGAGCGCAGGCGGUUUAAUAAGUCUGAAGUUAAAGGCAGUGGCUUAACCAUUGUUCGCUUUGGAAACUGUUAAACUUGAGUGCAGAAGGGGAGAGUGGAAUUCCAUGUGUAGCGGUGAAAUGCGUAGAUAUAUGGAGGAACACCGGUGGCGAAAGCGGCUCUCUGGUCUGUAACUGACGCUGAGGCUCGAAAGCGUGGGGAGCAAACAGGAUUAGAUACCCUGGUAGUCCACGCCGUAGACGAUGAGUGCUAGGUGUUAGGCCCUUUCCGGGGCUUAGUGCCGCAGCUAACGCAUUAAGCACUCCGCCUGGGGAGUACGACCGCAAGGUUGAAACUCAAAUGAAUUGACGG
rnacentral:rRNA from 1 species